rnacentral:tRNA from 1 species
UGCGGUUUUCGCCAGAAAUGGUCGCAUUCGUAAUGCGGGGGUCACAGGUUCGAGUCCUGUAAGCGCAC